UACGUAGGGUGCGAGCGUUAAUCGGAAUUACUGGGCGUAAAGCGUGCGCAGGCGGUGAGCUGUGUCCGAUGUGAAAGCCCCGGGCUUAACCUGGGAAUGGCAUUGGAAACUGAGAGGCUUGAGUACAGAAGAGGAAAGCGGAAUUCCACGUGUAGCGGUGAAAUGCGUAGAGAUGUGGAGGAGCACCAGUGGCGAAGGCGGGUCGUCUGGGCAGUAACUGACGCUGAGGAGCGAAAGCGUGGGAGCGAACAGG
rnacentral:rRNA from 1 species